UGUUUUUUUUUUUAAUUAUUUUUCUUUUGUAGAUUCAUGCAACGAGUUUUUAUUGAUUCAAGUGCAUUCACGAUACUCUAUCUCCUCGUUCUUACUAUACUUUAGAACAGGACUCGGAAUUAACUGCUCUUUUCGGGCAGUUUUCAGAAACUAUGCCCCUUUCCUCCCGCCGCUCGAUGUACCUCGCAUGAGGGCCAUAGUCCUCGAGGCACCUCAGGCGCGUGCCGUAUGAAUCGUAGUCCAUGGGUGAUAUGGAAACCUAUUGAUACGAGUGUAGCCCCAAUGCGCCCUGAAAAGUUCAUAGGGCACGUGCCAGAAGUGCCUCGAGGAUUAAAGCAGGCCCUCCAAGCUCUACUCUUAUGAAUUUGACGCAAAUUUUAACUUACCCCCGGACUUCCAAGCGGCGCUGAUGCCGCUUUUCUACAUGCAUAGCUUGUAUCACUGAUUUUAACACACAACUAAAGAUAUCGUGACGUCAUGUUCCCGCGAAAUUUGUCGCCGCGUUUUUCAAUUGUUUCAAAAUUUAAAGAGACAAAAUAAAUAUGGCGCACAUGGUUGCACAUGGUGGCAGCGUAGGUGACUGAAUUUCCAGUUUUUUCUAGGUUUUUAGGUUUUUCAAUAACUUCUGCUGAUGAGAUGCAGCAACAGGAGGAGAAGAUAGAAAUUAAAAAGAGGAAGAAAAUAUGCAUCAUCAGAGGUUGUUUUAACGAAAAGAGCAGGAUGUUCUCCUUCCCCUAAGAGAGAAAGGAUAAGAAGAGGAUGGCACAGUGGGUGGAAGUAUGUGACAACCCAAAGUCAAUGCUUCCACCUGAAAACUGAAAUUCCGGGUGAUCUGUAGUAGCUACUUUAAAGAAAAAUACUUCAUGAGGAAAAGAUUAACAACAUCAGCAGUUCCAACACUGAACUUACUUGUGUCAGAGACUACCUCUAUUAAAAUAGAGCAAUAAGAC